rnacentral:rRNA from 1 species
ACGAACGCUGGCGGCGUGCUUAACACAUGCAAGUCGAACGGUGACCCACCUUCGGGUGGCGAUCAGUGGCGAACGGGUGAGUAACACGUGGGCAAUCUGCCCCUCACACUGGAAUAACUCCGGGAAACCGGGGCUAAUACCGGAUAUCACUACUGAGGGCAUCCUCGGUAGUUGAAAGGAUUCUGGUGAGGGAUGAGCCCGCGGCCUAUCAGCUUGUUGGUGGGGUAACGGCCCACCAAGGCGACGACGGGUAGCCGGCCUGAGAGGGCGACCGGCCACACUGGGACUGAGACACGGCCCAGACUCCUACGGGAGGCAGCAGUGGGGAAUAUUGCGCAAUGGGCGAAAGCCUGACGCAGCAACGCCGCGUGAGGGAACGAAGGCCUUUGGGUUGUAAACCUCUUUCAGCAGGGACGAAGCGAAAGUGACGGUACCUGCAGAAGAAGCACCGGCUAACUACGU